GACGAACGCUGGCGGCGUGCCUAAUACAUGCAAGUUGAGCGCUGAAGGUUGGUACUUGUACCUACUGGAUGAGCAGCGAACGGGUGAGUAACGCGUGGGGAAUCUGCCUUUGAGCGGGGGACAACAUUUGGAAACGAAUGCUAAUACCGCAUAAAAACUUUAAACACAAGAUUUAAGUUUGAAAGAUGCAAUUGCAUCACUCAAAGAUGAUCCCGCGUUGUAUUAGCUAGUUGGUGAGGUAAAGGCUCACCAAGGCGAUGAUACAUAGCCGACCUGAGAGGGUGAACGGCCACAAUGGGACUGAGACACGGCCCAAACUCCUACGGGAGGCAGCAGUAGGGAAGCUUCGGCAAUGGGCGGAAGGCUGGACGAGGAACGCCGCGUGGGUGAAGAAGGGUUUCGGGUCGGAAAACUCUGUUGGUAGAGAAGAACGUUGGUGAGAGUGGAAAGCUCAUCAAGUGACGGUAACUACCCAGAAAGGGACGGCUAACUACGUG
rnacentral:rRNA from 1 species